GGCAGGUAAAAAGGCGGUUGUUUUGACUCUCAAAGAGCAGCACCUGGAGCCUGCAGAAAGCAGGCAGAGGAGAAGCAAGAAGGAAGUGUGCUGAGAGCAGCACUAGAAGGCAGCAGCAUUUGGAAACAGAAAGAAGAAGCAUCAACAGAAUGGGUUCCCUUGACCAGCAGCCUGGAAUCGGACCCUUGGUGGAGUGAGUGAUUGUGUAUCAACUCAAUUCUCUCCUCUGCUCCGGGCAAGAUGUGUCCCCCAGACCCGAAAGGACUAAGAGGUUUCUCCAUCCCUUCCUCUAGACGUUGUCCUGUUUUCCCCCUCCUUGAAUAAGUCCUAAUAGGCGAAGCGAACAAUUUCCUUCUCCCUGAAGAGGCGAAGACUUCUGGGAAGGAGAUGGUGAAUUUCUCUGUUGCCCUAGAUAUAAGGAUUAUUAUGUCUUGGAACUAU